GGAGUGGUCAUCUACACUUAUAAAGCAAAGGUCUUAAGUUCCUUAUCAUAGGAAGAACAUUUUCUUUGACCUUUAGGUGCUUUUAUAUUCAUCUCAAAAACAAAAUUCUGAUCUCAGGACUUGGCGAACCACUGCCAAGAAAGAAAUUCUGAUCUCAGGACUUGGCAAACCACUGCUGAAACUUCACUUCUACACAGACAGGCUUUCCUUCCCAUAACUCCAGACCAGCUGAGCAAUUAUAAGGUGUUUGCAAAGAAGACAGCUCUAUGGCAAAAUGACGAUGUUCAUUCCCAGCACAAAGGAGAGUACAGGAAUGCAGCAGGCCCAGGAAGCCCAAGCUCUUCUGAGACCUUGAGGAGAGGAAUAUACUCAAUUCA
rnacentral:lncRNA from 10 species